rnacentral:rRNA from 1 species
GCGCAGCAGUCGAGAAACUUCACAAUGUGCGAAGGCACGAUGAGGGAAUCCCAAGUGCUUGCACGUAAGUGUAAGCUGUUUCUCUGUCUAAAACGCAGAGAGAGUAAGGGCUGGGUAAGACGGGUGCCAGCCGCCGCGGUAAUACCUGCAGCUCGAGUGGUGACCGUUAUUAUUGGGCCUAAAACGUCCGUAGCCGGUUUAAUAAAUGCCUGGGUAAAUCGGACCGCUUAACGGUUCGAAUUCCGGGUAGACUGUUAAACUUGAGACCGGGAGAAGUUAGAGGUACUCCUGGGGUAGAGGUGAAAUUCUGUAAUCCUAGGGGACCACCAGUGGCGAAGGCGUCUAACUAGAACGGGUCUGACGGUGAGGGACGAAGCCCUGGGGCGCAAACGGGAUUAGAUACCCCUGUAGU